rnacentral:rRNA from 1 species
GACGAACGCUGGCGGCGUGCUUAACACAUGCAAGUCGAACGGAAAGGCCCUGCUUGCAGGGUACUCGAGUGGCGAACGGGUGAGUAACACGUGGGUGAUCUGCCCUGCACUUCGGGAUAAGCCUGGGAAACUGGGUCUAAUACCGGAUAGGAGCCAUUUUUAGUGUGAUGGUUGGAAAGUUUUUUCGGUGUAGGAUGAGCUCGCGGCCUAUCAGCUUGUUGGUGGGGUAAUGGCCUACCAAGGCGGCGACGGGUAGCCGGCCUGAGAGGGUGGACGGCCACAGUGGGACUGAGAGACGGCCCAGACUCCGACGGGAGGCAGCAGUGGGGAAUAUUGCACAAGGGGCGCAAGCCUGAUGCAGCGACGCCGCGUGGGGGAUGACGGCCUUCGGGUUGUAAACUCCUUUCGCUAGGGACGAAGCUUUUUGUGACGGUACCUAGAUAAGAAGCACCGGCUAACUACGUG